GACGAACCGUCCUAACGUUAUUCGGAAUCACUGGGCUUAAAGGGCGCGUAGGCGGACGAGCAAGUCCGGAGUGAAAUCCUCCGGCUUAACCGGAGAAGUGCUUUGGAUACUGCUCGUCUUGAGGGAGGUAGGGGCAUGUGGAACUUCUGGUGGAGCGGUGAAAUGCGUUGAUAUCAGAAGGAACGCCGGUGGCGAAAGCGACGUGCUGGCCCUCUUCUGACGCUGAGGCGCGAAAGCUAGGGGAGCAAACGGG
rnacentral:rRNA from 1 species